rnacentral:rRNA from 1 species
UACGUAGGGUGCGAGCGUUAAUCGGAAUUACUGGGCGUAAAGCGCACGUAGGCGGGUCGUUAAGUCGGGGGUGAAAUCCUGGAGCUCAACUCCAGAACUGCCUUUGAUACUGAGGAUCUUGAGUUCGGGAGAGGUGAGUGGGAACUGCGAGUGUAGAGGUGAAAAUUCGUAGAUAUUCGCAAGAACACCAGUGGCGAAGGCGGACUCACUGGCCCGAUACUGACGCUGAGGCACGAAAGC